AGUCGAGGGGUAUUGUUCUUCGGAAUGAGAGACCGGCGCACGGGUGCGUAACGCGUAUGCAAUCUACCUUUCACAGAGGGAUAGCCCAGAGAAAUUUGGAUUAAUACCUCAUGGUAUAUAGGAGUGGCAUCACUUUUAUAUUAAAGUCACAACGGUGAAAGAUGAGCAUGCGUCCCAUUAGCUAGUUGGUAAGGUAACGGCUUACCAAGGCGACGAUGAGUAGGGGUCCUGAGAGGGAGAUCCCCCACACUGGUACUGAGACACGGACCAGACUCCUACGGGAGGCAGCAGUGAGGAAUAUUGGUCAAUGGGCGCAAGCCUGAACCAGCCAUGCCGCGUGCAGGAUGAAGCAUCUAUGGUGUGUAAACUGCUUUUGUACGGGAAGAAACAGAGGUUCGUGAACCUCCUUGACGGUACCGUAAGAAUAAGGAUCGGCUAACUCCGUGCCAGCAGCCGCGGUAAUACGGAGGAUCCAAGCGUUAUCCGGAAUCAUUGGGUUUAAAGGGUCCGUAGGCGGUUUAGUAAGUCAGUGGUGAAAGCCCAUCGCUCAACGGUGGAACGGCCAUUGAUACUGCUAGACUUGAAUUAUUAGGAAGUAACUAGAAUAUGUAGUGUAGCGGUGAAAUGCUUAGAUAUUACAUGGAAUACCAAUUGCGAAGGCAGGUUACUACUAAUGGAUUGACGCUGAUGGACGAAAGCGUGGGUAGCGAACAGGAUUAGAUACCCUGGUAGUCCACGCCGUAAACGAUGGAUACUAGCUGUUCGGAGCAAUCUGAGUGGCUAAGCGAAAGUGAUAAGUAUCCCACCUGGGGAGUACGGGCGCAAGCCUGAAAC
rnacentral:rRNA from 1 species